CACUUUUGCUUCUGGUCUUGC
rnacentral:miRNA from 1 species